AUUGAACGCUGGCGUCAGGCCUAACACAUUCAAGUCGAGCUAGCGUCGGACGGGUGAGUAAUGUAUGGGGCCUUCCCGAUAGAUGGGGAUAACUACUGGAAACUGUUGAUAAUACCGCAUACUAUCGGAGAACCCAUAUGGGAUUAGCUAGUAGGUGGGGGAAAGGCUCACCUAGGCGACGAUCUCUAGCUAGUCUGAGAGGAUGAUCAGCCAUACUGGGAAGGAGACACGGCCCAGACUCCGACGGAGGCAGCAGUGGGGAAUAUUGCACAAUGGGCGCAAGUCUGAUGCAGCCAUGCCGCGGGUAUGAAGAAGGACUUAGGGUUGUAAAGUACUUGCAGCGGGGAGGUGUUACCCGCAGAAGAAGCACAGGCUAACUCCGUGCCAGCCGCCGCGGUAAUUC
rnacentral:rRNA from 1 species